UACGAACCGUCCAAACGUUAUUCGGAAUCACUGGGCUUAAAGAGUCCGUAGGCGGCUCAGUAAGUAGGGUGUGAAAUCCCACGGCUCAACCGUGGAACUGCGCCCUAAACUACUGAGCUUGAGGGAGCUAGAGGUAAGCGGAACUGAUGGUGGAGCGGUGAAAUGCGUUGAUAUCAUCAGGAACACCGGAGGCGAAGGCGGCUUACUGGGGCUUUUCUGACGCUGAGGGACGAAAGCUAGGGUAGCGAACGGG
rnacentral:rRNA from 1 species